UACGGGAGGCAGCAGUGGGGAAUAUUGCACAAUGGGCGCAAGCCUGAUGCAGCCAUGCCGCGUGUAUGAAAAAGGCCUUCGGGUUGUAAAGUACUUUCAGUCGUGAGGAAGGUGUUAAGGUUAAUAACCUUAGCAAUUGACGUUAGCGACAGAAGAAGCACCGGCUAACUCCGUGCCAGCAGCCGCGGUAAUACGGAGGGUGCGAGCGUUAAUCGGAAUUACUGGGCGUAAAGGGCACGCAGGCGGUUAAUUAAGUUGGAUGUGAAAUCCCCGGGCUUAACCUGGGAAUGGCAUUCAAGCUGGUUAGCUAGAGUCUUGUAGAGGGGGUAGAAUUCCAUGUGUAGCGGUGAAAUGCGUAGAGAUGUGGAGGAAUACCGGUGGCGAAGGCGGCCCCUGGACAAGACUGACGCUCAUGUGCGAAAGCGUGGGGAGCGAAACAGGGAUUAGAUACC
rnacentral:rRNA from 1 species